CGUGCGUGAUUAUCUAGCAAUAGAUAUGAAAGCGGCGAACGGGUGAGUAACACGUAAGCAACCUUCCUUUAAAUCUGGGAUAACCCCUCCAACGAGGGGCUAAUACCGGAUGUGGUUAUUGUGACAUAGGUUAUAGUAAUUAAAGGUGACCCCUAUUUAUAAGUUACUGUUUAGAGAUGGGCUUGCGGAUCAGUAGCUAGUUGGUGAGGUAACGGCCCACCAAGGCAGAGAUGAUUAGCCGACCUGAGAGGGUGAUCGGCCACAUUGGGACUGAGAUACGGCCCAGACUCCUACGGGAGGCAGCAGUAGGGAAUAUUGCGCAAUGGACGAAAGUCUGACGCAGCAACUCCGCGUGAAGGAUGACGGCCUUAGGGUUGUAAACUUCUGUUGAGUGGGAAGAACCAGCAGUGUGCUAAUCAGCAUUGCUCUGACGGUACCACUUUAGAAAGCACCGGCUAACUACGUGCCAGCAGCCGCGGUAAUACGUAGGGUGCAAGCGUUGUUCGGAAUCACUGGGCGUAAAGCGAACGUAGGCGGGGAAGUAAGUUAGGAGUGAAAUUUAUCGGCUCAACCGGUAAUCUGCUUUUAAUACUGCUUUUCUUGAGUAUGGGAGAGGAUGAUGGAAUUCCAGGUGUAGCGGUGGAAUGCGUAGAUAUCUGGAAGAACACCAGUUGCGAAGGCGGUCAUCUGGCCCAAUACUGACGCUGAGGUUCGAAAGCUAGGGGGGCGAACAGGAUUAGAUACCCUGGUAGUCCUAGCCGUAAACGAUGGAUACUAGUUGUUGGGGCUGUUAUGGUUUCAGCGACGUAGCUAACGCGUUAAGUAUCCCGCCUGGGGAGUACGCUCGCAAGAGUGAAACUCAAAGGAAUUGACGGGGGCCCGCACAAGCGGUGGAGCAUGUGCUUUAAUUCGAUGCAACGCGAAGAACCUUACCUGGUCUUGACAUGUGAAUGCAAUCCUUUAGAGAUAGAGGACCUUCCCUCGGGAACAUUCAACACAGGUGCUGCAUGGUUGUCGUCAGCUCGUGUCGUGAGAUGUUGGGUUAAGUCCCGCAACGAGCGCAACCCUUGUCCUUAGUUGCCAGCACGUUAUGGUGGGAACUCUAGGGAGACUGCCUGGUUUAACCAGGAGGAAGGUGGGGAUGACGUCAAAUCAUCAUGGCCCUUACGACCAGGGCUAGACACGUGCUACAAUGGGCGGUACAGAGGGUUGCUAAGUCGUGAGGCUAUGCUAAUCCCUUAAAACCGUUCUCAGUUCGGAUAGAAGUCUGCAAUUCGACUUCUUGAAGUUGGAAUCGCUAGUAAUCGCGGAUCAGAACGCCGCGGUGAAUACGUUCCCGGGCCUUGUACACACCGCCCGUCAAGCCAUGAAAGAUGGUAGUACCCAAAGUCGCUUCUCUAACCGCAAGGAAGAGUGCGCCUAAGGUAAGACUGUUAAUUGGGGCUAAGUAGUAACAAGGUA
rnacentral:rRNA from 1 species